GAGAUAUAAACAGUUGAAAAAUAAAACUUUUAAUCAGUAGGUCGCUGGUUCGAACCCAGCAGGGCUCACCA
rnacentral:tRNA from 1 species